rnacentral:lncRNA from 1 species
GAUGAGGAGUUGUUUCAGAAGUGGGUUCAGCAAUAAAGAACCUUCAAACUCCAUGUUUUAUUGGAGAUUUUAAUCAAGCUGUCUCAUCUGACUUUGGGAUAUCUCUGUUUUUGAAGCUUACAAAAUCUGCAGAAUCAUUGAUGACUUCAUUCUAGAAGAGUCCAAGUCCGGGCAAGUUGUGUGUCAAACCAGAAGAUUGAAUUUUGAAGACGUUCAAAUCAUAAGCACCCAUUCAAGCAUUUAUAGCAGAAAAUUUUUGUUAAGGAGAGCUUUGAAUAUUCAUCAUAUUAACUUCUGUAAGUACUUUGAAUGAAGAUUGGUAUUUGAAACUGCAACUUCAAGUUUCAAUCGUAUCUUCUCAACCAAUCUUCUGUUUUUCUGAUUCUUUGAUGUUAAUUCAACUCUUUUACUAAAGGGAGAGUGCAGAGUCUAGAAUUGUUCUUUGGUUGCUCACAAGUCAUUGCUUUUACAAAAGUUUUGCAUACACUUUAUUAGUCUUGCACUCUAUGGUAGAUAAUUCUAGUCAUCAAUUUUGAGAUUUAAACUCAAAAUCUUGAAAACCAAGUCUUGUUAUUAGGAACUUAAUUUCAAGUGUUUUAGUUGUGCUUUAAACUUAUCUGAGUGCUUUAAACUUAAUGGGUUAGUUAACAUACCAAAAAAAUGGGUUCCUUCCAGUUUGGUAGAAAAAAACAAUGGCAGAGGUCGAGCCCAAGUGGGAAAUUUGCUGUGGGAGCGGACUUCCAUUGUUUCAAACAUAAAAUCGAGCCCAAGUGAUCCAUCUAGUGGGAUUCCAUCGGUACGAGACAUUACCCAAUGAGUGUUGGAUUUGUUAAGUUUUUUGUCUCCUAUCUUUUAUAUAUAAUUUCGUUUAAAAUAUAUUAUAUUUUGAAAUAUUUUUAACUGGUUCCUAUAUUUGUAUUACAUUAUUGGUUUUUGUAUUUUAAUUAUAUAAUAUUCAAAAGGGUCAAUUCUAUGUAAAAUUUAUUAAUAACUUGUUUAUACAUUUCUUAAUCCCUCAAAUUCUCUAAUUAACUAUAGUCAUUCGAGGAAACAUUACAUACAAAAGCUACUUGAACGUGUAAUGUAAAAACAUUUGCAACAACUGCUGCAUAUUUUUGGGCUGAGAAGUUUAUUUUGACUGAAUUAUAUCGCAAAACUGACAUGAAGUUUUACUAAGGAAAUGUCAUUGUCUUUCAAUUUUCCAUCACUUGAUCUUGAACAUUGACUGGAUUACUCACAUUAUGCCUUAUAUCAAUUUUCAAUUUAGAUGGUUGUAGUUUGAAGAUGAUAUAUUUUGGUACAAAUCAGUUGGAUUUUGCUGACAUUUAAUUUUUAAACUUUUUCAGGGUCAUUCUUCUGUAUCUGUUUCUGAGACUCAAGUAAGUUUUUUACUUAACUACUUUUACAUUUAUGUUCUGUGUAUUGAAUCUAAUUUGAUAAAGCAAUGCAUUCCAUGGAGCAAUUGAAAAAAUGAUCAGCCAUUCAGAUUGAUAAUUUUUGUAUCAGUUUGUUAGCAUCCUUAUCAAGUAUCAAAUGCCUAUCUGUUACUUCUUGUACCCUGCAGGUUGGUUAUAUAAUUCCUUCUUGUUUGGGUUAUUCUGUCAAGAAUUACUUAGAAACUGUUCUAUUUUACAAUAUUAACUAAUGUACUAAACUUCAUGAUACCGAGUACCUGUUACCAAAUUAAUAUAUCAUAGUAUUUGAAUUAAUUUUCUACAAAAAUAUUUUUUUGACUGUUUUUAACCAAAACCUAAUUUAUUUCUACCCUAUUUUUGUACUAUGACGAUUUUUAAUAAAUUUAAUUAUUACUAUAAUAAUUAUAUGAAGUAAUAUAUAUGAAGUAAAAUUAUAUUGUAUACUAAAUAUGGUACAUAUACUUUAAUUCCUUAUGUUUUGGCUUUUAGGAUAGAGUUCCAUGUGUCUGUAUUAGUGAAUUAAUGUUCUAUGUCUUUCAGUUACUUCUUCCUGCUCCUCCUGCAACUAUUGGUUCAACUGAAGCUGCCAUUUAAUCUUCGAAUUAAAAUUUGGUACUGAUAUAGAUAAAGUUUUUAUAUUUGCUUAAACUGAAAUAUAUUUGGUGCUACUCUUAUAAUCUUACAUCAGUUCUAGGUACUAUCGAGCACCUGAAUUAAUAUUUGGUGCAACUAAAUACACCACAGCCAUUAACAUCUGUUCUAGGUACAGGUUUCGUUGCUAAAUUUUUUUCCUUAUUUCUAUGCAUUUUCACUUUAAAUUACUUAACAAAUAUUACUUUUUUGAAUCCAGCCUCUGUUUGUUGAUGAGAGUGGAGUAGACUAGGUUGUUGAAAUUAUUAAGGUACGUUUUAUUUUAAAAUUCUUGUAGACACUCAAUUUUGCCCGGGCCCAGAAAUAAUUUCAAAAAAAAAAACAAAGUCCAAGUCCAGUACAAAAUUACAAACAUAUAAUUUGGCCUAAUCGAAAUAGCCCAUUACUUGAAAAGAUUUAAGGUCCAUCUACAAGCUUGACUUAUAUGGAAAUAUAAUCUUCAAUGAUAUGCAAUCUUAGAUAUGAUACAAUCUUAGAUAUGAUUGCAAUCUUAGAUAUUAUAUGCAAUCUUAGAUAUGAUACAAUCUUAGAUAUGAUUGCAAUCUUAGAUAUGAUAUGCAAUCUUAGAAGAUAUGAUUUUGUAAUCUUAGAGAUUUAAUUUGUAGAUAUCUUUUAAUCUUAACCGUUGAUGUAAUUGAUCUGUACCGUUGGAUUUGAGGAGGUUCAACUAUAAAUAGAGGCCUCUCCCUUCAUUGUAAAUCACUUGAGUUUUGGGAAGCAAUAAGAAUUCUUGAGAGC